rnacentral:rRNA from 1 species
GCGGUGAAAUGCGCAGAUAUCGGGAGGAACACCGGUGGCGAAGGCGGUUCUCUGGGCCUGUUCUGACGCUGAGGAGCGAAAGCGUGGGGAGCGAACAGGAUUAGAUACCCUGGUAGUCCACGCCGUAAACGUUGGGCGCUAGGUGUGGGGUUCUUCCACGGAUUCCGCGCCGUAGCUAACGCAUUAAGCGCCCCGCCUGGGGAGUACGGCCGCAAGGCUAAAACUCAAAGGAAUUGACGGGGGCCCGCACAAGCGGCGGAGCAUGUUGCUUAAUUCGACGCAACGCGAAGAACCUUACCAAGGCUUGACAUCGCCGGAAAUCCCGCAGAGAUGCGGGGUCCUUUUUGGGCCGGUGACAGGUGGUGCUUGGCUGUCGUCAGCUCGUGUCGUGAGAUGUUGGGUUAAGGUCCCGCAACGAGCGCAACCCUCGUUCCAUGUUGCCAGCCACUUAUUGGUGGGGACUCAUGGGAGAACCGCCGGGGUCAACUCGGAAGAAGGGGGGAUGAGGCAAGGCAUCAUGCCCCUUAUGCCCUUGGGCUUCAAACAUGCUACAAUGGCCGAUACAGAGGGCUGCGAUACCGGGAGGUGGAGCGAAUCCCUUAAAGCCGGUAACAGGUUCGGAUCGAAGUCUGGAACUCGACUUCUUGAAGUCGGAGUCGCUGGUAAUCCCAGAUCCGCAACGCUGCGGUGAAUACGUUCCCGGGCCUUGAACACACCGCCC